UAGGGCUGGGAUGAAAUACG
rnacentral:misc_RNA from 1 species